GAUAAAACGCUGGCGGCGUGCAUAACACAUUCAAGUCGAACGGUGACGAGGGCUUCGGCCCUCUGAUCAGUGGCGGACGGGUGAGUAACGCGUGAGCAAACCUGCCUUUCAAAAGCGGGAUAACGUCUGGGAAAACGGACGCUAAUACCGCAUAACGCACAGAGAUCGCAUGGUUUUUGGCCAAAAAGGGAACCUGAUGAAAGAUGGGCUCGCGUCUGAUUAGAUAGUUGGCGGGGUAACGGCCCACAAGUCGACGAUCAGUAGCCGGACUGAGAGGUUGACCGGCCACAUUGGGACUGAGAUAC
rnacentral:rRNA from 1 species